CGCCUCUUGAUUAAUAAUAAGAGGUCCAGCCUGCCCAGUGAAUUUUUAACGGCCGCGGUAUCCUAACCGCGCGAAGGUAGCAUAAUCACUUGUUCUUUAAAUGGGGACUCGUAUCAACGGCAUCACGAGGGUUUUACUGUCUCCUCUUUUUGAUCAGUGAAAUUGAUCUUCCCGUGAAGAAGCGGGAAUACCCAUAUAAGACGAGAAGACCCCAUGGAGCUUAAAACCAAAUAGUAACUUAACCACAUAUCUCCUUAUAACUUUAAGCCCAUACUAUGAGGUUUUUGGUUGGGGUGACCGCGGAGUAAAACAUAUCCUCCACGACGGAAAGAUUACAAUCUUUAUUUAAGAACCACAAUUCUAAAAAUUAGUAUACUAACGUUUACUGACCCGAUAAUCGAUCAACGGACCAAGUUACCCUGGGGAUAACAGCGCAAUCUACUUCAAGAGCCCAUAUCGACAAGUAGGCUUACGACCUCGAUGUUGGAUCAGGGUAUCCCAGUGGUGCAGCCAUUACUGAAGGUUCGUUUGUUCAACGAUUAAAACCCU
rnacentral:rRNA from 1 species